GACGAACGCUGGCGGCGUGCCUAAUACAUGCAAGUUGAGCGCUGAAGGUUGGUACUUGUACCGACUGGAUGAGCAGCGAACGGGUGAGUAACGCGUGGGGAAUCUGCCUUUGAGCGGGGGACAACAUUUGGAAACGAAUGCUAAUACCGCAUAAAAACUUUAAACACAAGUUUUAAGUUUGAAAGAUGCAAUUGCAUCACUCAAAGAUGAUCCCGCGUUGUAUUAGCUAGUUGGUGAGGUAAAGGCUCACCAAGGCGAUGAUACAUAGCCGACCUGAGAGGGUGAUCGGCCACAUUGGGACCGAGACACGGCCCAAACUCCUACGGGAGGCAGCAGUAGGGAAUCUUCGGCAAUGGACGAAAGUCUGACCGAGCAACGCCGCGUGAGUGAAGAAGGUUUACGGAUCGUAAAACUCUGUUGGUAGAGAAGAACGUUGGUGAGAGUGGAAAGCUCAUCAAGUGACGGUAACUACCCAGAAAGGGACGGCUAACUACGUG
rnacentral:rRNA from 1 species